ACUUUAAGGACAGCCUGUAUACAUAUGGAGAGAGAGAUUUAUUUUAAGGAGUUGGCUCACAAGAUUAUGGGGGCUGGUAAGUCCAAAUUUUGCAGUACAGGCCAGCAGGCUGGAGACCCAAGGAAAAGUUGGUAUUGAGGUCCCAAGAUCAAAUGCAGUCAGUGUAGAGGCAAAAUUCCUUUUAUUUUCUUUUAGUUUGGAGGACUUUAGUUUGUUUCUCUCAAGGUCUUCAACUUAGUGGAUGAGGCCAAACCACCUUACAGAGGGUGAUUUGCUGUACUCAAAGUACACUGAUUUAUAAUUCCAUCUAAAAAAUAUCUUCCCAUCUUCCCAGCAACAUCUAGUCCAGUGUCUGACCAGACAUCUGAGCACCAUAGACUAGCCAAGCUGACACAUGAAUUAACCUUUACUUUCUCUUACUCCAGGGGACCAUCCUGGAAAGUCCUGGGAUACAGCCACUGCAGUGUGGAGAUUUUUCUAAGCUGCCUAAGCAGGGCCUUAAUGGUUCAUCAGUCUGUAGGGCAACUCUAAACUCUAAGGUGUGCCUGUAUGAAUUGGAUGGAACAGUACUUCAAGAAGGUGCCAAGUGAGGGGAUGCCGUUGCCUGAGGAUUCCACCAAGAAAGGAGAACUCUUCAUCUUCUUUGACAUCCAGUUUCCCAACCACCUCACACCCCCAAGCAGCAGCUGCUGCACCAAGCAUUGGUGACGUAACUGGUGGGCUAAGGGUUACAGCGGAGGUGGGGGGAGGCUGGCCAGGCCUUCCCUGGCCCCUCCAGCCUCAGGGUGUGCAGGGGAGCCAGCCUGCUGCACUGAUGUGACAUGAGCCUGAGCUGGCAUGGGGCUUAAACUGACACAAUAAAGACCAAUUUCCCUUCAAAAAAAUUAAAUCAAUUAAAAUGCCUUGUUGCAAGUUCUGGAUUUGUAGCUAGCAAAUAGAAUAGGAGAAUUUGGAAUUGGUAAUCCCUGGAAAAUAACAAGAAAAAACAUUCAAGCAUUUUAGGACAUUAAAAGUGCAAAAUUACCUCACACUCUGGAAAUGAUAGUGGUAUUACUAUGAGUACUUUUUCUGUGGAUUUUCCAAAUGAGCUAGUAUCCCAAUUAAAACACAUUUAGAUACUGUAAAAGUCUUUUUUUCUCCCCUUUCUCCUAAAGGACUUGUAUAUACUUACCUAUAUCUACAAUCACCACCAACAAAUAAUUUCUCUGACCUAAUGGCUUCCCCCAAAAGUCUCAAUGUUGCCCUGAGUGACACCUUUUAUCCGUCACCUUCGCAGAAUAGCUGGAUACUGAAUAACUUUUGACUAUUUACGAGUUUGCAGUAAGAACUAUCUGAGGGCAAAAAAAUACAACCCAGGCAAGCAGAAUAAGGGGACAGAAGGUACAAUGAGUGUUGAGGCUUUAGCCGGCUUUGGGGUGGUAAGUGUGGGAACACAGACGUCCGUGUGCGGCUCGGUGUCUGGUUUUAAUUCUGCGGCAGCUUGCCUUUAGUUAAAAAUAGAUGCAAUGGUCGCCGGUAAAUCUCCCUGAGAGAUUAUGGUGACAAAAUUCACCUAGAAAGAGGCAAUACCAAGCCGUCUCAACACAAUGUAGUUUCACUUUAUCAGACUAUUCAAACACUUGUAUCUAGUCCUUAAGAACUUGGUAGUAACCAAACAACAUUGAAAAUUGACACCUUUUUACAUUUUCACCCAGGGUUAGCAGCUCUUGCCUUACCACAUCUUUAAGUUAUUUGCGAAAGUGACAGACAUUCUUGGAUUGCUCUAAUUACUCAGUCAAGGUCAGAUCAACCCAUAAAGGAAGUGGCAAUUUUCAAAUCACCAAAGGACAAAAUAUUAGCUGGAAAAGGAGCAGAACUUGGAUGAGGUCCCAGCUCUCCGUCCUCAGCUACUUGAUAUUUUUCUCUCCAUAACAUCCGCUUAUCUCCCGUACUCCCAUAUUGUUCUGUAACUAAGCGUUUGAUAAGCCUGGGUUGGCAAGGUCUCUGGAACUCUGGGCCCUAGUGCUGCUAUCAUAGUAUAUACCUAAUAUAGCUAUAUACAUAGUAUAGCAGCGCUAGGCUAUAACAUACCCUUAUAAGUGGCCUUCCUUUCUCCGAUAAGUCUACCUUGUCAUAUCGUGUUCUGUGGAUUUUCCUCCUUGGUAGAAGUUUCCAGUAGGCCUUAAUAAACCACAAAAUCAAGAGA